rnacentral:lncRNA from 1 species
GUCCAAUCUGGAUGCAACUACCAAAAAGUUACUACUUUGAUUUUUAUAUCAAGUGGUAUUGUUUGAAAUUUGUCUUUCUGCUUUUGUGAAUAGGCAUUCAAAAUUAAUGGCUUUACUUCGUUAAGUGAGUCUUUAAUAAUGUGAUGCAGUCAGCAAUGUUAAACUAUUUCCAGCAAUCUGUGACUGUGAGAUUUGAAUCCUUUUCAAUAGCUUCCAAUGUCCUAUGCAAUGUGUAUAGUAUAUAGUGAAUACGCAUAGCUUGUAUUUGGAGCUGACAGUGAACUAGGAAGAGAAUCACUAUUUCCAUUGUCAUCGGAAACGUCUUCAAAAUCGUCAAUUAUUUCAUUGUGUGAUUGAUGCAAUAAUUCAUCUUCAGUGAACUCCAUUUCGUCUAACAUUUCAACAUUUCAUUUGAAUUAUCAAUAGCUUUCUUAAGUUUCUCAGAAUCGUCCUGUGAGCCCACUCUGAUGCAGACUCCGUUAUUAACUUUUUUCACACCUUGUACGUUUAUAUUUAACUUCUGUGGUUUUAUAUUUUUUUUAAUUUGGUUUUCUGUAGAGUCAGGGUCGAAGAGAUCCUCAUCCCCAGAGUCCCUGGGGUAGACUAGAACUGCAUGCCCACCGGUGGGCCACUGAGACUUUUUAGGCUUAAUAGUUUUAUUAAUCAACUUGGUAGUAGCGCUAGCUACCGAAUUAUCCACAAGCACGUCUUUAUAGGUAGGAGAAGCCUGAGUGUUAAGACGGUUUCUUAAUUCAUGGGUUAUGCCAUAAAUUUGAUGAGCUGUAGAAAAGAGGUCAUUGGCGGCUUUACGAAUUUUUUUACGGUUCGCAUAAACGGUACUUUUACCGUGUCAUGGGCAUUGGCAGGUAAAAGUUCAAGAAUUAUUUCCAAAUUAGCCGUCAGAGAUUCGAGUAAUUCUUCCUCCAUGCCCGGUCCAGGUUCGGGAAGGGCAAACACCACUUAUUAAUUAAUUUUUUUAAAUCAUUUUCAUUUUAAAAUAAUAAGGGUAGUUUAAACCCUCCGGAAAAUAAGUUUCAGAAUGUUUAAAAAUAUAGCGGAAAAAAGUAGUUCCAACUUUGGUCCAUAGAUGAUGCUGUACGUACUCCACGUGAUAGUAGAACAAAGAAACUGAAUAUCUCGGGAAGGAAUUAUCGGAGAGUAAUUAAAUUGGUGGCGGAAGAGAGCGUAGAUUUCGCUGAUUAAAAUG